rnacentral:rRNA from 1 species
ACUCGAAACUCAAAGGACUUGACGGUGUCCCAAACCAACCUAGAGGAGCCUGUCCUAUAAUCGAUAAUCCACGCUUCACCUUACCCCCCCUUGCAAACCAGUCUGUAUACCGCCGUCUUUCAGUUCGUCUUAUGACAGACCCAGAACAAACACAACAGCCCACCACUAAAACGUCAGGUCAAGGUGCAGCCAAUGGGAGGGCAGCGAUGGGCUACAUUUUCUACCACAACAGAACACCACAAACCACCACAUGAAAUAUAGGCCACAAGGCGGAUUUAGCAGUAAGCCAAACA